UACGUAGGGUGCAAGCGUUGUCCGGAAUUAUUGGGCGUAAAGAGCUCGUAGGCGGUUUGUCGCGUCUGCCGUGAAAGUCCGGGGCUCAACUCCGGAUCUGCGGUGGGUACGGGCAGACUAGAGUGAUGUAGGGGAGACUGGAAUUCCUGGUGUAGCGGUGAAAUGCGUAGAUAUCUGGAGGAACACCGGUGGCGAAGGCGGCAUCCUGGACCGACACUGACGCUGAGGAGCGAAAGCCAGGGGAGCAAACGGG
rnacentral:rRNA from 1 species